CUACGUGCCAGCAGCCGCGGUAAUACGUAGGUGGCGAGCGUUGUCCGGAAUUAUUGGGCGUAAAGGGAGCGCAGGCGGACAUAUAAGUCCAUCUUAAAAGUGCGGGGCUCAACCCCGUGAGGGGAUGGAAACUGUAUGCCUUGAGUGCAGGAGAGGAAAGCGGAAUUCCCAGUGUAGCGGUGAAAUGCGUAGAUAUUGGGAGGAACACCAGUGGCGAAGGCGGCUUUCUGGACUGUAACUGACGCUGAGGCUCGAAAGCCAGGGGAGCGAACGGGAUUAGAUACCCCGGUAGUCCUGGCCGUAAACGAUGAAUGCUAGGUGUAGGAGGUAUCGACCCCUCCUGUGCCGGAGUUAACGCAAUAAGCAUUCCGCCUGGGGAGUACGGCCGCAAGGCUGAAACUCAAAGGAAUUGACGGGGGCCCGCACAAGCGGUGGAGUAUGUGGUUUAAUUCGACGCAACGCGAAGAACCUUACCAGGGCUUGACAU
rnacentral:rRNA from 1 species